CUGAAGUUGGCUUAGUCAACUGGUUGGACUCCUUUUCAGAGUGCUCUGGAGUUUGGUGAACUCUGCUGGCCUCUACAGAUGUACUCAGAAUUGUGCAGGCCUGCUAUUUCACACAGGUACAUAAGGCCACACUCACCUGAAGUGAGAGUGUCAGAUCUGGACCAGAGGAACUCUAUUGUAUGUGACAUCUGAAGCAGAGGAA